rnacentral:rRNA from 1 species
GACGAACGCUGGCGGCGUGCCUAAUACAUGCAAGUUGAGCGAUGAAGAUUGGUGCUUGCACCAAUUUGAAGAGCAGCGAACGGGAGAGUAACGCGUGGGGAAUCUGCCUUUGAGCGGGGGACAACAUUUGGAAACGAAUGCUAAUACCGCAUAACAACUUUAAACAUAAGUUUUAAGUUUGAAAGAUGCAAUUGCAUCACUCAAAGAUGAUCCCGCGUUGUAUUAGCUAGUUGGUGAGGUAAAGGCUCACCAAGGCGAUGAUACAUAGCCGACCUGAGAGGGUGAUCGGCCACAUUGGGACUGGGACACGGCCCAAACUCCUACGGGAGGCAGCAGUAGGGAAUCUUCGGCAAUGGACGAAAGUCUGACCGAGCAACGCCGCGUGAGUGAAGAAGGUUUUCGGAUCGUAAAACUCUGUUGGUAGAGAAGAACGUUGGUGAGAGUGGAAAGCUCAUCAAGUGACGGUAACUACCCAGAAAGGGACGGCUAACUACGUG